UACGUAGGGUGCAAGCGUUGUCCGGAAUUAUUGGGCGUAAAGAGCUUGUAGGCGGUCUGUCACGUCGAUUGUGAAAACUUGGGGCUCAACUCCAAGCUUGCAGUCGAUACGGGCAGACUAGAGUACUUCAGGGGAGACUGGAAUUCCUGGUGUAGCGGUGAAAUGCGCAGAUAUCAGGAGGAACACCGGUGGCGAAGGCGGGUCUCUGGGAAGUAACUGACGCUGAGAAGCGAAAGCGUGGGUAGCGAACAGG
rnacentral:rRNA from 1 species